rnacentral:rRNA from 1 species
UGGGGGAUAUUGCACAAUGGGGGAAACCCUGAUGCAGCGACGCCGCGUGGGUGAAGAAGCGCCUCGGCGCGUAAAGCCCUGUCAGCAGGGAAGAAAAUGACGGUACCUGAAGAAGAAGCCCCGGCUAACUACGUCGCC